rnacentral:rRNA from 1 species
UAGUGGCGCACGGGUGAGUAACACGUGGGUAACCUGUCCUUGAGUUCGGGAUACCCUUUCGAAAGGAAGGCUAAUACCGGAUACGUUCCUCGGAUUGCGAAGUCUGGGGAGGAAAGGUGGCGAAAGCUACCGCUCUUGGAGGGGCUCGCGGCCUAUCAGCUAGUUGGUGAGGUAACGGCUCACCAAGGCUAUGACGGGUAGCUGGUCUGAGAGGACGACCAGCCACACGGGAACUGAGACACGGUCCCGACUCCUACGGGAGGCAGCAGUGGGGAAUUUUCCGCAAUGGGCGAAAGCCUGACGGAGUGACGCCGCGUGGGGGACGAAGGCCUUCGGGUUGUAAACCCCUGUCAGAGGGAAAGAAGGGUCGCCUGGCUAAUAUCCAGGUGAUCUGACGGUACCUUCAGAGGAAGCCCCGGCCAACUCUGUGCCAGCAGCCGCGGUAAGACAGAGGGGGCAAGCGUUGCUCGGAAUCACUGGGCGUAAAGGGCGCGUAGGCGGGAUGGCAAGUCGGUCGUGAAAUCUCUCGGCUCAACCGAGAAACGUCGGCCGAUACUGCCGUUCUUGAGGGAUGCAGAGGAGACUGGAAUUCCCGGUGUAGCGGUGAAAUGUGUAGAGAUCGGGAGGAACACCGGUGGCGAAGGCGGGUCUCUGGGCAUUUCC